rnacentral:ncRNA from 1 species
AAUAUGACGUUGACGAGAUGAGAAUAUAUAGAAGUCGGUUACAGCGAGUUGGGGAUGGUGUGAGCCCAAUCGAGAACAACUAUAUUGAGAGCUUCUCAGAGUCUCUGGCAAGAAAGCUGUAAAGCUCUAAGGUCAGACGGAAUCCUACCGUUAUCUUGGAUAGGUAUCGAGAGUUUAUCUCCGUACCAAAGAGAGAACCUUGUGUUAAUAUGGGUGGUACCGCGGAAGUAUAACUUUCGUCCCAAUU